GCCCCUGUAGCUCAGCCCGGCAGAGCGAUGCUUUCGUAAAGCAUAGGUCGGGGGUUCAACUCCCUCCGGGGGCU
rnacentral:tRNA from 1 species